rnacentral:rRNA from 1 species
GUCGAGAAUCAUUGUCAAUGGGCGAAAGCCUGAACGUGCGACGCCGCGUGUGGGAUGAAGGCCCUUGGGUUGUAAACCACUGUCAGGGGGAAGGAAUAAGGCUGGCGACACCAGCUGAUGACUUAUACCCCAGAGGAAGUGACGGCUAACUACGUGCCAGCAGCUGCGGUAAUACGUAGGUCACGAACGUUAUUCGGAAUCACUGGGCUUAAAGGGCGCGUAGGCGGCUUAAUAAGUUACGACUGAAAUCCGGCGGCUCACCCGUCGAACUGGCCGUAAUACUGUUGAGCUUGAGGUGCGGAGGGAUGCGUGGAACUUGUGGUGGAGCGGUGAAAUGCCCAGAUAUCACAGGGAACACCGGUGGCGAAGGCGACGCAUUGGCCGCAAUCUGACGCUGAGGCGCGAAAGCAUGGGGAGCGAACGGGAUUAGAAACCCUAGUAGUCC